rnacentral:rRNA from 1 species
GCCUUAUACAUGCAAGUCGAACGAGAAAGUAUCUUCGGAUACGAGUAAAGUGGCGGACGGGUGAGUAAUACAUAGGAAUCUACCCAAUGGAGGGGGAUAGCUCGAGGAAACUCGAAUUAAUACCGCAUAAUCUCUACGGAGUAAAGGGGGCUUCGGCUCUCGCCAUCGGAUGAGCCUAUGCAGGAUUAGCUUGUUGGUGAGGUAAUGGCUCACCAAGGCGACGAUCCUUAGCUGGUUUGAGAGGAUGACCAGCCACAUCGGGACUGAGACACGGCCCGGACUUCUACGGAAGGCAGCAGUAGGGAAUAUUGGACAAUGAGCGAAAGCUUGAUCCAGCCAUGCCGCGUGUGCGAUGACGGCCUUAGGGUUGUAAAGCACUUUAGGUAACGAGGAAAAGUUAGGUGUUAAUACCAUCUAACCUUGACGUUAAUUACAGAAUAAGCACCGGCUAAAUCCGUGCC